rnacentral:rRNA from 1 species
AGUGAACGCUGGCGGUAGGCCUAACACAUGCAAGUCGAACGGCAGCACAGUAAGAGCUUGCCCUUACGGGUGGCGAGUGGCGGACGGGUGAGGAAAACACCGGAAUCUACUUUUUCGUGGGGGAUAACGUAGGGAAACUUACGCUAAUACUGCAUACGACCUACGGGUGAAAGCAGGGGAUCUUCGGACCUGGCGCGACUGAAUGAGCCGAGGUCGGAUUAGCUAGUUGGCGGGGUAAAGGCCCACCAAGGCGACGAUCCGUAGCUGGUCUGAGAGGAGGAUAAGCCACACUGGAACUGAGACACGGUCCAGACUCCUACGGGAGGCAGCAGUGGGGAAUAUUGGACAAUGGGCGCAAGCCUGAUCCAGCCAUACCGCGUGGGUGAAGAAGGCCUUCGGGUUGUAAAGCCCUUUUGUUGGGAAAGAAAAGCAGCAGGUUAAUACCCCGCUGUUCUGACGGUACCCAAAGAAUAAGCACCGGCUAACUUCGUG